rnacentral:rRNA from 1 species
CCGAAGUUAGUCGUGCUUGGGCGAGAGUAGUACUAGGAUGUGUGACCUCGUGGGAAGUCAUAGUGUUGCAUUUC